AGCGAACGCUGGCGGCAGGCUUAACACAUGCAAGUCGAGCGCCGUAGCAAUACGGAGCGGCAGACGGGAGAGUAACACGUGGGAACGUACCCCUUGGUUCGGAAUAACUCAGGGAAACUUGAGCUAAUACCGGAUACGUCGGCAACGAGAAAGAUUUAUCGCCGAGGGAUCGGCCCGCGUCCGAUUAGCUAGUUGGUGUGGUAAUGGCGCACCAAGGCGACGAUCGGUAGCUGGUCUGAGAGGAUGAUCAGCCUCACUGGGACUGAGACACGGCCCAGACUCCUACGGGAGGCAGCAGUGGGGAAUAUUGGACAAUGGGCGCAAGCCUGGUCCAGCCAUGCCGCGUGGGUGAUGAAGGCCUUAGGGUUGUAAAGCCCUUUCGGCGGGGAAGAUAAUGACGGUACCCGCAGAAGAAGCCCCGGCUAACUUCGUGCCAGCCGCCGCCGUAAUAC
rnacentral:rRNA from 1 species